rnacentral:rRNA from 1 species
AUUCCGGUUGAUCCUGCCGGAGGCCAUUGCUAUUGGGAUCCGAUUUAGCCAUGCUAGUUGUACGAGUUUAGACUCGUAGCGAAUAGCUCAGUAACACGUGGCCAAACUACCCUUCGGACCACAAUACCCUCGGGAAACUGAGGCUAAUAGUGGAUCAUACACUCACACUGGAAUGUCGAGUGUGUCAAACGCUCCGGCGCCGAAGGAUGUGGCUGCGGCCGAUUAGGUAGACGGUGGGGUAACGGCCCACCGUGCCAAUAAUCGGUACGGGUCAUGAGAGUGAGAACCCGGAGACGGAAUCUGAGACAAGAUUCCGGGCCCUACGGGGCGCAGCAGGCGCGAAACCUUUACACUGCACGCCAGUGCGAUAAGGGGAUCCCAAGUGCGCAGGCAUAGAGCCUGCGCUUUUGUCCACCCUAGGGAGGUGGACGAAUAAGGGCUGGGCAAGACCGGUGCCAGCCGCCGCGGUAAUACCGGCAGCCCCGAGUGAUGGCCGAUCUUAUUGGGCCUAAAGCGUCCGUACCUAAGGGGGAACUUCUGGAGAUAUCCAUCCGCCCAACGGGUGGCCGUCCGGUGGAAACUGCACGGCUUGGGACCGGAAGGCGCGACGGGACGUCCGGGGUAGGAGUG